CGCCUCUGAUGGAAGUGCCCACAUCAAUAAAAAAGAUUGCAAGUUUUUUUAAAGUUAAUUAUAAUUAAAUUUAAAAUUUUGUUUAAUUCGAAAAACAGGAACUUAUUCUUUUCUAAAAUCAGGGAAUGAAUCCAAUGAUUCUUCAAGAUCCCAAGCAUCACCAUAGUCCUAUCAUUAUAGACCAAAGAGAAGGACAAAUGAAACAAAAAGGGAGUCACACAUUGGAAGAUGAGGAAAAGAAUAAAAGGAAAGCCAUCAUACCUAUUCUCUGACCCAAGGUGGGGUCCCCGGAUCCAGGACAGUAAGGAGGAUGUUGAGGCUGAGAGUGGGGAACAAGCAGUGGAGGGGGGAUUCAAACUCAUGGCACCCACGUUCUUUCCUUCUGAAGAAAUUGGUCCUCAACUCUUUCAGGUGGAAAGGUAAGAAAGAAAUCUGACACCUCAAAAAAUUCACUAUUUCCUGCAUUUUAACUGAGUUGACUUAAACUAGGGGGAAAAACUAGUGGGAAAUAUCCAGUCUUGAACUGAGAAAAUCUUGUCAAAACUCUAAGCGCACAAAUGCGUAGUCGCUGCCGGAGGGCGGAAGGCUGUCCUCUCCCGACCGUGCUUCCUCCCGCGGGACACGCUGGCAGUGCAUCGUGUUAGCCAAACACUUCCGAACAGUUCAGCGUUUUAAGGCCAGCCAAAUCCAAGCGCUAUCUGGCUGGAAACUCCAUAGCUGACUUGAAGUCAACGUGUUUCUGUGAGGAAAUUUACUCCAUAUGGUUCCGGCUCCUUGAAAGUUGCUCAUCAAUUGAAGCUUUCAGAAAGAGCAAAAGGAGAGUCAAGAACUCUGACCCCGUGGCUGGGGAAUUAUUUUAAAUUUGUUCUCACAAAUAGGGAGCCCAGGAUCACCAGGGGAAAAACAAUCACUUAAAGAUUCCAAUUCCCUUAUAACCAAUUCAAGGAAAAAUGCUGCGUUCUCUCCCGGAUAUUUCUUGAUGCAGUUUUAUUUUAUUCCAGCUGCCAAGGAGAGCUGUGGUCUUCUUUUUUCCUUUUUGUUUUUACAUUUGAAAGAUCUCCCAUCUAUAAAGUGCCAACUAUGUGUGAAGUGCGUUUCAAAAAAGUAACUUGACGUUGUGGUCCUAUAAGGCAACACUUGGCAAAAAAAAAAAAAAAAAAAAAAGCCUGAAAAAUGCAGAAAAGAGAAGAGAAACAAAUCCUACCACCCAGAGAUAACCAUCAAACAUUUGAUUUCAAAAUGCACCUUCCGUAUCACUAAUUUCUUUUAAAGAGAAACUAGUUGUAUCUCCAUAUAUUCUAAAUAUCAACUAGCCUUUGAGACAGACAGAUUAUUCAUCCCUCAAAAAGAUCUACUAGGUAGGAACAGAGAAAAGAUUAGCUCAGGUGUUUUGGUACAGAAAAACGAGUGGGUCGUUU
rnacentral:lncRNA from 1 species